rnacentral:rRNA from 1 species
GAUGAACGCUGGCGGCGUGCCUAAUACAUGCAAGUCGAGCGAACGGACGAGAAGCUUGCUUCUCUGAUGUUAGCGGCGGACGGGUGAGUAACACGUGGAUAACCUACCUAUAAGACUGGGAUAACUUCGGGAAACCGGAGCUAAUACCGGAUAAUAUUUUGAACCGCAUGGUUCAAAAGUGAAAGACGGUCUUGCUGUCACUUAUAGAUGGAUCCGCGCUGCAUUAGCUAGUUGGUAAGGUAACGGCUUACCAAGGCAACGAUGCAUAGCCGACCUGAGAGGGUGAUCGGCCACACUGGAACUGAGACACGGUCCAGACUCCUACGGGAGGCAGCAGUAGGGAAUCUUCCGCAAUGGGCGAAAGCCUGACGGAGCAACGCCGCGUGAGUGAUGAAGGUCUUCGGAUCGUAAAACUCUGUUAUUAGGGAAGAACAUAUGUGUAAGUAACUGUGCACAUCUUGACGGUACCUAAUCAGAAAGCCACGGCUAACUACGUGCCAGCAGCCGCGGUAAUACGUAGGUGGCAAGCGUUAUCCGGAAUUAUUGGGCGUAAAGCGCGCGUAGGCGGUUUUUUAAGUCUGAUGUGAAAGCCCACGGCUCAACCGUGGAGGGUCAUUGGAAACUGGAAAACUUGAGUGCAGAAGAGGAAAGUGGAAUUCCAUGUGUAGCGGUGAAAUGCGCAGAGAUAUGGAGGAACACCAGUGGCGAAGGCGACUUUCUGGUCUGUAACUGACGCUGAUGUGCGAAAGCGUGGGGAUCAAACAGGAUCAGAUACCCUGGUAGUCCACGCCGUAAACGAUGAGUGCUAAGUGUUAGGGGGUUUCCGCCCCUUAGUGCUGCAGCUAACGCAUUAAGCACUCCGCCUGGGGAGUACGACCGCAAGGUUGAAACUCAAAGGAAUUGACGGGGACCCGCACAAGCGGUGGAGCAUGUGGUUUAAUUCGAAGCAACGCGAAGAACCUUACCAAAUCUUGACAUCCUUUGACAACUCUAGAGAUAGAGCCUUCCCCUUCGGGGGACAAAGUGACAGGUGGUGCAUGGUUGUCGUCAGCUCGUGUCGUGAGAUGUUGGGUUAAGUCCCGCAACGAGCGCAACCCUUAAGCUUAGUUGCCAUCAUUAAGUUGGGCACUCUAAGUUGACUGCCGGUGACAAACCGGAGGAAGGUGGGGAUGACGUCAAAUCAUCAUGCCCCUUAUGAUUUGGGCUACACACGUGCUACAAUGGACAAUACAAAGGGCAGCGAAACCGCGAGGUCAAGCAAAUCCCAUAAAGUUGUUCUCAGUUCGGAUUGUAGUCUGCAACUCGACUACAUGAAGCUGGAAUCGCUAGUAAUCGUAGAUCAGCAUGCUACGGUGAAUACGUUCCCGGGUCU